GAUGAACGCUGGCGGCGUGCCUAAUACAUGCAAGUCGAGCGAACGGACGAGAAGCUUGCUUCUCUGAUGUUAGCGGCGGACGGGUGAGUAACACGUGGAUAACCUACCUAUAAGACUGGGAUAACUUCGGGAAACCGGAGCUAAUACCGGAUAAUAUUUUGAACCGCAUGGUUCAAAAGUGAAAGACGGUCUUGCUGUCACUUAUAGAUGGAUCCGCGCUGCAUUAGCUAGUUGGUAAGGUAACGGCCUACCAAGGCAACGAUGCAUAGCCGACCUGAGAGGGUGAUCGGCCACACUGGAACUGAGACACGGUCCAGACUCCUACGGGAGGCAGCAGUAGGGAAUCUUCCGCAAUGGGCGAAAGCCUGACGGAGCAACGCCGCGUGAGUGAUGAAGGUCUUCGGAUCGUAAAACUCUGUUAUUAGGGAAGAACAUAUGUGUAAGUAACUGUGCACAUCUUGACGGUACCUAAUCAGAAAGCCACGGCUAACUACGUGCCAGCAGCCGCGGUAAUACGUAGGUGGCAAGCGUUAUCCGGAAUUAUUGGGCGUAAAGCGCGCGUAGGCGGUUUUUUAAGUCUGAUGUGAAAGCCCACGGCUCAACCGUGGAGGGUCAUUGGAAACUGGAAAACUUGAGUGCAGAAGAGGAAAGUGGAAUUCCAUGUGUAGCGGUGAAAUGCGCAGAGAUAUGGAGGAACACCAGUGGCGAAGGCGACUUUCUGGUCUGUAACUGACGCUGAUGUGCGAAAGCGUGGGGAUCAAACAGGAUUAGAUACCCUGGUAGUCCACGCCGUAAACGAUGAGUGCUAAGUGUUAGGGGGUUUCCGCCCCUUAGUGCUGCAGCUAACGCAUUAAGCACUCCGCCUGGGGAGUACGACCGCAAGGUUGAAACUCAAAGGAAUUGACGGGGACCCGCACAAGCGGUGGAGCAUGUGGUUUAAUUCGAAGCAACGCGAAGAACCUUACCAAAUCUUGACAUCCUUUGACAACUCUAGAGAUAGAGCCUUCCCCUUCGGGGGACAAAGUGACAGGUGGUGCAUGGUUGUCGUCAGCUCGUGUCGUGAGAUGUUGGGUUAAGUCCCGCAACGAGCGCAACCCUUAAGCUUAGUUGCCAUCAUUAAGUUGGGCACUCUAAGUUGACUGCCGGUGACAAACCGGAGGAAGGUGGGGAUGACGUCAAAUCAUCAUGCCCCUUAUGAUUUGGGCUACACACGUGCUACAAUGGACAAUACAAAGGGCAGCGAAACCGCGAGGUCAAGCAAAUCCCAUAAAGUUGUUCUCAGUUCGGAUUGUAGUCUGCAACUCGACUACAUGAAGCUGGAAUCGCUAGUAAUCGUAGAUCAGCAUGCUACGGUGAAUACGUUCCCGGGUCU
rnacentral:rRNA from 1 species